UACGUAGGGGGCUAGCGUUGUCCGGAUUUAUUUGGCGUAAAGAGCGUGUAGGCGGCCAGACAGGUCUGCUGUGAAAACUCGAGGCUCAACCUCGAGACGCCGGUGGAAACCGUCUGGCUAGAGUCCGGAAGAGGAGAGUGGAAUUCCUGGUGUAGCGGUGAAAUGCGCAGAUAUCAGGAAGAACACCCGUGGCUAAGGCGGCUCUCUAGUACGGUACUGACGCUGAGACGCGAAAGCGUGGGGAGCGAACAGG
rnacentral:rRNA from 1 species